rnacentral:rRNA from 1 species
GACGAACGCUGGCGGCGUGCUUAACACAUGCAAGUCGAACGGAAAGGCCCUGCUUUUGUGGGGUGCUCGAGUGGCGAACGGGUGAGUAACACGUGAGUAACCUGCCCUUGACUUUGGGAUAACUUCAGGAAACUGGGGCUAAUACCGGAUAGGAGCUCCUGCUGCAUGGUGGGGGUUGGAAAGUUUCGGCGGUGGGGGAUGGACUCGCGGCUUAUCAGCUUGUUGGUGGGGUAGUGGCUUACCAAGGCUUUGACGGGUAGCCGGCCUGAGAGGGUGACCGGCCACAUUGGGACUGAGAUACGGCCGAGACUCAUACGGGGGGCAGCAGUGGGGAAUAUUGCACAAUGGGCGGAAGCCUGAUGCAGCAACGCCGCGUGCGGGAUGACGGCCUUCGGGUUGUAAACCGCUUUCGCCUGUGACGAAGCGUGAGUGACGGUAAUGGGUAAAGAAGCACCGGCUAACUACGUG